ACAACAUUCGGGCCAUCGGUCUACAGAGCAAUAUCACCCGCCUGGUGGAAGAUCUUUUCCCUUUGUCGU
rnacentral:pre_miRNA from 1 species